AGCGAGGCCGGCUGCGCAUGUGAAACUCGCGUGCUCGGCGACCCGUCUCUUUGUAUGUAGCCCGUUUUUUGGGCUCCCGGCGUUCUCUUGCGUUCCGUCUGCAUUUCGAGACGGCACCGCUGCACUACUGGACUACAGCAAGCUGAUAGCAUCCGGUGGAGCUUCGUACGGCAACGACUGCUGCUUACCUGGUGCCCCAACUUUGUAUGAAUGUAGAAGCCCGGAACGAGUAUUUAUAUAGAGCAAAAUAAACAUUUCAUCAUUUCA
rnacentral:lncRNA from 1 species